rnacentral:rRNA from 1 species
AGGGUGCGAGCGUUGUCCGGAAUUAUUGGGCGUAAAGGGCUCGUAGGCGGUUUGUCGCGUCGGGAGUGAAAUCCACUGGCUUAACUGGUGGCUUGCUUUCGAUACGGGCAGACUGGAGGUAUGCAGGGGAGAACGGAAUUCCUGGUGUAGCGGUGAAAUGCGCAGAUAUCAGGAGGAACACCGGUGGCGAAGGCGGUUCUCUGGGCAUGUCCUGACGCUGAGGAGCGAAAGUGUGGGGAGCGAACGGG